rnacentral:sRNA from 2 species
ACUCACCCACCACCCGUACACGGCAGGAGCGGGGGACCCACAGGUACAACCGCCUGUUCCGGUUCCCGGAACGGCUAGGGGUCAAGCCGCGCCUCGGCGCGGCCGGGCAUCUCCAGUCCGAACCCGACAGCUCACCUCGCAGGCGCCGGAGAGGAAUU